UUUCUUUGGAGAGUUUGAUCCUGGCUCAGGACGAACGCUGGCGGCGUGCCUAAUACAUGCAAGUCGAGCGGACCAAAUCGG
rnacentral:rRNA from 1 species